rnacentral:snoRNA from 1 species
AAUGGCAGUGACGACUCAAAAAAUUCAAGCUCAACAGACCGGAUUGCAGGUUUCUCUCUCUAGAGAUGAUUACUUGCGUGUCGAUAAACCCGCUGAACUGAGCCUUU